rnacentral:tRNA from 1 species
GCCGGGAUGGCGGAACUGGCAGACGCACGGGACUUAAAAUCCCGCGGUGGCAACACUCUGUGGGUUCAAUUCCCACUCCCGGCACCA